AUGCCCAUUUUUUCUGGGAUCCAUUUCUGGACACAGAUACCUGGAGGGAAAAGAGGAGUUUGUUUGAAAAGCCUGGAGCCAACCUGCGCUGUGCCCAAAUGCUGGGCCCAGGCAUCCUGCUCAGAACUGCCUGGUUCCACCAAAACCCAGCACCCUCCAGACAGAGGAUGGAAUAACCUGCAAAGACUGACAGAUUCAAACAAGGGAUCACUAACAGGUACUUGGUGUUCCAGUGCAACACUCCUCCUGAUGCACCUGUUACUGAACAACUCGACUACAAGAACCACCUUUGGAAGAGAUUUGCUGCUGCUCUGGGAAGAUAAGGGGGGUUAACCUGCAAGGAAGCACGACCCAGCAGCCUGCCUGCCAACAGGUUCUUGGAGCAAGAUGCCAGUUAGGGAACGGCACAGCCCCAGGGUUAAUGAAAUACAGGGCAAGCUCUGAGCUCUGUUUCUGCUGACAUUUUCUCUCACAGGGAUGCUGCUGCCUUAGCUGCACACAAAAUACUUACCAGGCAAAAUUCAGAGGCACAGAGAGCUUUGCCCUAACACGCCUUCGUUUUCUGUGCUUCCCCAGCAAUGUUAUCUUAGCCAAAAAUACUGUCCUUAAGUCUGGCUCUGUCUCUGCAAUGACACUUUCAAUUUUUUGUUACAAUUUUUUUUGUUUCAAUUUUUUGGUUACAAUUGAGAGGUAUGUUACUGACAGCUUCAUUAGCAGCAGAGCAGGUCUGAGACUUGUUGUUGCUAAUAAUCUGAUAUUCCAAAUUUUAAAAAGUUAAAAAGUCACAGUAUGAAAAUAGAAUUUUACAUCUCUAAAGCUCUAAAAUAGUCAGCAUUUUUGCGUUGGAUGUGUGUUUAACACCAAGUUCAGUGAAUUCUUCCACUGACUACAACAUACCACAAGCUGUUGCACAAUCCCAGCAUGUGUAAAUGUUCACACUGGCAGCUUUCAUGUGCCCCCCACUCCCUACAUCAUUACUAGGAGCUGUCUCCCUGCUUCUACAAACUCAGAAUGUCUACAGUUUACAGAACAAAAGUCAUUAAAUAAACCAUCUCCUCCAAAGAUCAUUCCAAGUGGCAGGAGUCACACUCCUUUAACCAUAUAGUUAUAUCUCCUCCAAAGAUCAUUCCAAGUGGCAGGAGUCACACUCCUUAACCGUAUAGUUACCAUCAUUACUAGGAGCUGUCUCCCUGCUUCUACAAACUCAGAAUGUCUACAGUUUACAGAACAAAAGUCAUUAAAUAAACCAUCUCCUCCAAAGAUCAUUCCAAGUGGCAGGAGUCACACUCCUUUAACCAUAUAGUUAUAGACUUAAAAGUCUCAGACUGGGGAAUAUUGUGCAACCUGUUUUUAAGGAAAAUCACCCAAUCCUGAUGAGGAAGGCCCAGAAGGACAAUUAGCAAGGUUUAAAGCAAAUGGAAAAACAAUUACACAACAGGACUUACUCCCCUGUGGAAAACACCCGGACCAAUAUUUAUUCUCUCUGAAGACAGAAUAUUUGCAUUUAACUUCAAACUUUAUUAAGGCAAUGCUGAUGUGAUUUUGAGCCUUUACAGAGGGGCUCAGUGAUUUUACAGGAUUUUUUAGCCAAACAGGCUAAAUGCACACUCUGCAGAAGACUAUUUGGGGCUAAAACAAAGAGAGAAAUGCAGAACUGAGGGGGGGAAAAAAAGGUGCUAACAGACUUAACAGUUACCCAAGGACAGCUUCAGCUCCAGAGGCACUGAGAUUGGAAGUGUCUCUAUCACCUCCAGACACACGUGCUUCUGAAUUUCCUGGCCAGUUUGGGGGAGGAUGACACAUUUUUAAAAUUGUUCUUCCUUUUUCUUGCUGCACCACAAAAGCCCCCAGAAAGGACACCAACAAGUACAAAAGCAGAACAAUGAGACUCGCUGAGAGGAAAUUUGGCAGCUGAGACAACAAUAAGAGCAUCUGUGAUAUGUACAGAGACUUUAUGCUAAGAGGGAAUAUACAUGAAGUCAGUGUGGAAGGAUGUCUAUAUCUGUUCACGUUUACAGUGUAAGAUUUAAAUGUCUUUUAAAUGUGUUUGAAGGCUUUUCUGACAGUAAGACCCUUGGAGCUGGAAGACUGGAUGUAAAUAUAUACAUGCAGAAUUUACAUCUCCUGUACUCCAGACUGUCUUCCUCCUCUGGGGAGCUCUGUGGAGAGGCCUGUGUAAAUACAGGCAUGCAUCCAAGAGGGAACAUUCUAGGAUUGAGAUCAGUUUUACAAAAACAUGGAAGGUCAAACUGUGAACACUAAACAGCUUCCUACAGACCCUCUAGCCAACAGUACAAUAACCCAAAUCUGCCUGAACACCAAUAAUGUUGCUCUGGCAAAUUCUCUGCUAGUAGCAGUAUUUUCUGAAAUAGCACUAACUUUAUCAAGUCAGUGAUCUUACUUUUUAGCACCACACUGAACUGGCAUCUCAGACAAGAUGUUACUAAAACGAGGAUUGCUAGAAGCCUACAAUGUUUAGC
rnacentral:lncRNA from 12 species